rnacentral:rRNA from 1 species
GACGAACGCUGGCGGCGUGCCUAAUACAUGCAAGUCGAACGCAGUGGGGACGGGUGAGUAACACGUGGGUAACCUCCCAUCAGCGAUGAUAACACUUGGAAACAGGUGCUAAACCGAUACUGAUGUAUGAACCCGCGGUGCAUUAGCUAGUUGGUGAGGUAACGGCCAACCAAGGCCACGAUGCAUAGCCGACCUGAGAGGGUGCACGGCCACAAUGGAACGGAGAAACGACCCAGACUCCUACGGGAGUCAGCAGUGGGGAAUCUUCGGCAAUGGACGAAAGUCUAACCGAGCAACGCCGCGUGAGUGAAGAAGGUUUACGGAUCGAAAAACUCUGGUGUUAGAGAAGCGGUAUCUAACCAGAAAGCCACGGCUAACUCCGUGCCAGCAGCCGCGGUAAUUC